GGCACAAACUUGGUGAAAAGUAGAUUAGUAGGGUCAGGUGAUACUACUAAUCUACUCCACUUCAAGUUUGUGCCC
rfam:Haemonchus placei strain MHpl1 genome assembly, scaffold: HPLM_scaffold0001231